UACGGAGGAUGCAAGCGUUAUCCGGAAUGAUUGGGCGUAAAGCGUCCGCAGGUGGCUGUGUAAGUCUGCUGUCAAAGAGCGAAGCUCAACUUCGUAAAGGCAGUGGAAACUGAAGUGCUAGAGUGCAGUAGGGGUAGAGGGAAUUCCCGGUGUAGCGGUGAAAUGCGUAGAGAUCGGGAAGAACAUCGGUGGCGAAAGCGCUCUGCUGGACUGCAACUGACACUCAGGGACGAAAGCUAGGGGAGCGAAUGGG
rnacentral:rRNA from 1 species